CGCCGCACCCUCCACAUAUGUUGCUCCGUAUGGAACUAUGAAUAUGGCUGGCGUGCUGUUGGUUUUCGACACCAGCUUCACGUUCUGGGACUUAUAGACAGCCAGCCCAAAGCAAGAUCUUUAGCGCUCCUAUGGUUGAUGAUAAUUACCGGGUACAUUGAACACAACAACCACAGCAUCAUGGUGGUUCAGCUGCCACAAUGAGGUGAGGAAUUUGAUAUGGAAUUAAAUUCAUGGCAAUUUGAAUCUGACAAUCCUGUUGAAUUUUAUUUGAUUCUGUGUUUAGCAAUGGCGUAGAACUUUUGGGCUUUUAAUGGUUUGCUGA
rnacentral:lncRNA from 1 species